UACGGGGGGGGCAAGCGUUGUUCGGAAUUACUGGGCGUAAAGGGCUCGUAGGCGGCCAACUAAGUCAGACGUGAAAUCCCUCGGCUUAGCCGGGGAACUGCGUCUGAUACUGGAUGGCUUGAGUGUGGGAGAGGAAUGCGGAAUUCCAGGUGUAGCGGUGAAAUGCGUAGAUAUCUGGAGGAACACCGGUGGCGAAGGCGGCAUUCUGGACCAUUACUGACACUCAGGUGCGACAGCGUGGGGAGCAAACAGG
rnacentral:rRNA from 1 species